AUUGAACGCUGGCGGCAGGCUUAACACAUGCAAGUCGAGCGAGCGGCGGACGGGUGAGUCAUGUCUGGGAACCUGCCUGAUGGAGGGGGAUAACUCCUGGAAACGGUAGCUAAUACCGCCUACCAUCAGCUUUGCCCAGAUGGGAUUAGCUAGUAGGUGGGGUAUUGGCUCACCUAGGCAACGAUCCCUAGCUGGUCUGAGAGGAUGACCAGCCAAACUGGAACUGAGACACGGGCCAGACUCCUACGGGAGGCAGCAGUGGGGAAUAUUGCACAAUGGGCGAAAGCCGGAGGCAGCAAUGCCGCGGGAGUGAAGAAGGCCUUCGGGUUGUAAAGCACUUUCAGCGAGGAGGCGUUACUCGCAGAAGAAGCACCGGCUAACUCCGUGCCAGCAGCCGCGGUAAUUC
rnacentral:rRNA from 1 species